AACUUGAUCUUCAAUGAACU
rnacentral:miRNA from 1 species